rnacentral:rRNA from 1 species
UGGGGAAUAUUGGACAAUGGGCGCAAGCCUGAUCCAGCAAUGCCGCGUGUGUGAAGAAGGCCUGCGGGUUGUAAAGCACUUUCAGUAGAGAAGAAAAGCUCAAGGUUAAUACCCUUGGGUCUUGACGUAACCUACAGAAGAAGCACCGGCUAACUCCGUGCCAGCAGCCGCGGUAAUACGGAGGGUGCGAGCGUUAAUCGGAAUUACUGGGCGUAAAGCGCGCGUAGGCGGUUUUGUCAGUCGGAUGUGAAAGCCCUGGGCUUAACCUGGGAAUUGCAUUCGAUACUGCAUUACUAGAGUACGGUAGAGGGAAGUGGAAUUCCGGGUGUAGCGGUGAAAUGCGUAGAUAUCCGGAGGAACACCAGUGGCGAAGGCGACUUCCUGGGCCAGUACUGACGCUGAGGUGCGAAAGCGUGGGGAGCAAACAGGAUUAGAUACCCCCGUAGUCC